AAAGGUCUCAGUUUUUUUCCAUGCGGUUGUGAUAGGGCAGCGAUAUGUUAACAACCAUUUUUUGACAACAGCUUUGACAACGCCACGUGGCACGUCGUCAUUGGUUGGUGUUGAUUUUAAAUUUUUAAUUGAAAAAAUGUGUUUUGGUUGAAAUGUCCAAAAUGCCCCAUUUAUUUUUUUCCCCAAAUCCUCUUUCCAGAAGAGGCGAUGUUCAAUGUAGGGUUCAGCAUUUUGGAAUUUUGGAUCUGUCUCCUUCGUGCUCGACCUUCUCCAUCCCAGAAGCGUUCUUUCUCCGUCGCACAGUCGUUCUUGAUUUUGAUUUCAUUUUGAUUGCAUUUUGUGUGUUUGAUUUUGAUUUCAUUUUGCGUUGUUGGUUUGUUUGCGAAGGUCGCGGUGUGGUUUAACCGUUGUCGGUGGAAGGGCUUCGACCCCUGAGAAGUUGGUUUGUGUAUCUUUCUUGGUUACUUUGAGGAAUGGCUUCGACCCCUGACACUACUUUUUCU
rnacentral:lncRNA from 1 species